rnacentral:rRNA from 1 species
UACGAAGGGGGCUAGCGUUGUUCGGAAUUACUGGGCGUAAAGCGUGCGCAGGCGGCUGCUCAAGUCAGGGGGUGAAAGCCCAGAGCUCAACUCUGGAAUUGCCUUUGAGACUGAGUGGCUUGAGUACGAGAGAGGUGAGUGGAAUUCCCAGUGUAGAGGUGAAAUUCGUAGAUAUUGGGGAAGAACACCGGUGGCGAAAGGCGGCUCACUGGCUCGUAACUGACGCUCAUGCACGACAGCGUGGGGAUCAAACAGG